AGGCAUCUCGUGAAAUCCCACAGCUCAACUGUGGAACUGCGGGGUGAACCGCCGGUCUUGAGGAAGGUAGGGGUCAGUGGAACUAUGGGUGGAGCGGUGAAAUGCGUAGAUAUCCAUGGGAACGCCAAUGGCGAAGGCAACUGACUGGGCCUUUCCUGACGCUCAGGCACGAAAGCGUGGGUAGCGAACGGGAUUAGAUACCCCGGUAGUCCACGCCGUAAACGAUGCACACUAGGUCGAGGGAGCUCUCACGCUUUCUCGGCCGAAGCUAAAGCGUUAAGUGUGCCGCCUGGGGAGUACGGUCGCAAGGCUAAAACUCAAAGGAAUUGACGGGGGCUCACACAAGCGGUGGAGCAUGUUGCUUAAUUCGAGGCAACGCGAAGAACCUUACCUGGUCUUGACAUGCAUGGAUUAGCUCUUGGAAACAUGAGUGACGCCUUCGGGUGGAACAUGCACAGGUGCUGCAUGGCUGUCGUCAGCUCGUGCUGUGAAGUGUCGGGUUAAAUCCCUUAACGAGCGCAACCCCUAUCGUCAGUUACUAACGCGUUAUGGCGAGGACUCUGGCGAGACUGCCGGUGUCAAACCGGAGGAAGGUGGGGAUGACGUCAAGUCCUCAUGGCCCUUACGACCAGGGUUGCAAACGUGCUACAAUGGUACGGACAGAGCGACGCGAGACCGCGAGGUGGAGCAAAUCGCAAAAACCGUGCCCCAGUUCGGAUAGCAGGCUGCAAUUCGCCUGCUUGAAG
rnacentral:rRNA from 1 species